GAUGAACGCCGGCGGUGUGCCUAAUACAUGCAAGUCGAACGCGUUGGCCCAAUUGAUUGAUGGUGCUUGCACCUGAUUGAUUUUGGUCGCCAACGAGUGGCGGACGGGUGAGUAACACGUAGGUAACCUGCCCAGAAGCGGGGGACAACAUUUGGAAACAGAUGCUAAUACCGCAUAACAGCGUUGUUCGCAUGAACAACGCUUAAAAGAUGGCUUCUCGCUAUCACUUCUGGAUGGACCUGCGGUGCAUUAGCUUGUUGGUGGGGUAACGGCCUACCAAGGCGAUGAUGCAUAGCCGAGUUGAGAGACUGAUCGGCCACAAUGGGACUGAGACACGGCCCAUACUCCUACGGGAGGCAGCAGUAGGGAAUCUUCCACAAUGGGCGCAAGCCUGAUGGAGCAACACCGCGUGAGUGAAGAAGGGUUUCGGCUCGUAAAGCUCUGUUGUUAAAGAAGAACACGUAUGAGAGUAACUGUUCAUACGUUGACGGUAUUUAACCAGAAAGUCACGGCUAACUACGUGCCAGCAGCCGCGGUAAUACGUAGGUGGCAAGCGUUAUCCGGAUUUAUUGGGCGUAAAGAGAGUGCAGGCGGUUUUCUAAGUCUGAUGUGAAAGCCUUCGGCUUAACCGGAGAAGUGCAUCGGAAACUGGAUAACUUGAGUGCAGAAGAGGGUAGUGGAACUCCAUGUGUAGCGGUGGAAUGCGUAGAUAUAUGGAAGAACACCAGUGGCGAAGGCGGCUACCUGGUCUGCAACUGACGCUGAGACUCGAAAGCAUGGGUAGCGAACAGGAUUAGAUACCCUGGUAGUCCAUGCCGUAAACGAUGAGUGCUAGGUGUUGGAGGGUUUCCGCCCUUCAGUGCCGGAGCUAACGCAUUAAGCACUCCGCCUGGGGAGUACGACCGCAAGGUUGAAACUCAAAGGAAUUGACGGGGGCCCGCACAAGCGGUGGAGCAUGUGGUUUAAUUCGAAGCUACGCGAAGAACCUUACCAGGUCUUGACAUCUUGCGCCAACCCUAGAGAUAGGGCGUUUCCUUCGGGAACGCAAUGACAGGUGGUGCAUGGUCGUCGUCAGCUCGUGUCGUGAGAUGUUGGGUUAAGUCCCGCAACGAGCGCAACCCUUGUUACUAGUUGCCAGCAUUAAGUUGGGCACUCUAGUGAGACUGCCGGUGACAAACCGGAGGAAGGUGGGGACGACGUCAGAUCAUCAUGCCCCUUAUGACCUGGGCUACACACGUGCUACAAUGGACGGUACAACGAGUCGCGAACUCGCGAGGGCAAGCAAAUCUCUUAAAACCGUUCUCAGUUCGGACUGCAGGCUGCAACUCGCCUGCACGAAGUCGGAAUCGCUAGUAAUCGCGGAUCAGCAUGCCGCGGUGAAUACGUUCCCGGGCCUUGUACACACCGCCCGUCACACCAUGAGAGUUUGUAACACCCAAAGUCGGUGGGGUAACCUUUUAGGAGCCAGCCGCCUAAGGUGGGACAGAUGAUUAGGGUGAAG
rnacentral:rRNA from 2 species